UUUGGUUCUGGAACCCAGCCACCACCCUGUAAGGAAGGCCAAAACAUCUUGGAAGAAGAGAUCUAUGAGAAAAACAAGCUUCUGGCUGAACUGCCAGCCAGUGAACAGCACCAAAGUGCCAAUGGGACACAUGUGUCCUCUUCCAGGUAGAUCAUGCUGCUAACUGUACCCAGUUUGGAGAGAAAAUUCACAACUUUGGGCUGAUGCAGGAGAAGCUGGCCGGGAUGGCUAUGCUGCAGUAUGUGACUGAGGUGAUGAAAAUCUAACACUGCUCCUUGCAGCCCGAAGAAUGUUUCUCAUGCCCCACUCAGGCCUCCUUUCCAGUCAAGGCUCAUGCUUUGGACCUUUUCUAAACAUCAUUCCUUGAGCCCAAUCACGAGCCAGCAGUGGGUCUCCUGAUGGCUGAGGGUCCUGUCAGAUGACUGCACUGCUAAUCUUUUUGCAUUUUGCCAAAAUGUAAAUCACUGAUAUAUGUUUCACAAGAUGUUGGCAGGCCAAGAUGGCGUGGAAAGUCCCUGAGCUCACCCCCUCUCACUGAUGCACCAAAAUCAGUUAUA